GGACUCGUGCGCUCCCGCAAUUUCUGCAAAGGAACAGACUUGGAAGAAAAGCGACACUGUGCACUAUGAUUUCUGUGCCGUGAACAUGAUCCUCCUGAAGUAAUUUAAUUGAGAUUACGUGUAAAAGAAAUCCAAGAAAACGUCAAGCAUACAAAUGUUAAAAGAAAUGGAAUGCAAACCACAGAAGCUGCCUCAUAGGAAUUAUGAAUUGAAGCGAGAGUCUUGUUCCUGUACAGAUGAAGCUUCAAGUUCAUCCUAGCAGGCUUCAAAAUACUGAUGUGGUCUUUUAAUGACCUCAGGUUAUUUAAAGUACAGUAGUCUCCAUUUCUCGAGAUUAACUUAAUUACUAAUAUUCAUUUAGUUUUGAACUUACUGACAUUGUAUUAGUGCUCGUGAACAUUUUGCCCUGCAAACUGGGAUUCUCAGCUAACUAAAAAAUGAUCUCUCCAAGUAGGGGUCUCCAAACCCCAGAGAGUGUGCACUCCUGCUGGAGGGCUAAGAGGAAAACAGGAUAUGGAGCUGAGCCCCUAUGGGUUGGUGCACACGGCUCAACCGGGAGGAGGGAGCAGCCAUCCAGAAUAGGGGCAGGAGACUUGGGUGGCUGAGCCAGAUGGGUCACACUUAUGGGAGAAGAGUUGGGUCACCUUAGUCUUGACUCUUCUCUCCAGCUCUUAGAUUACCCUGCCACUUCUAGCAAGACCCUGAAGAAUCAAGAUUUCAUUUUUUUUUGUUCAUAUUUAUUCAUAUUUCAACACUCAAAUGGCACUUUUUCAUCCUCUUCCCAUUUCCAGGGAAUAAUACCAAAGCUGGGUAUUGGGUAUUUAGGAAAUAAUUGCGAGUUUGAUUUAAGUGCCAGAAGUAGCAGGUUUGGUAUUAUGGGAAACUUUUCUAAAACGGUAGUAAAUAAUUGAAAAAGAGGAAAUAUUUCCAAUGCAAAGGCUAGUCUGAAAAGCUUGAUUACCUGUCAUGGCAAUGCCUUUUUUUAUUAACAAGUACAAGGAAAGGAGAUAUUGGCUGGCUUCAUGUUUCACUUCAUCAGUUCUGUUGUACAAGGG